rfam:Capsicum annuum cultivar Zunla-1 chromosome 10, whole genome shotgun sequence
AAAGCGGCUUUUCUUAAAGCCACAUACACUGUGUGAAGAUAUUCAU